rnacentral:misc_RNA from 1 species
GAAAUGCGAUAAGUAGUGUGAAUUGCAGAAUUCAGUGAAUCAUCGAAUCUUUGAACGCACAUUGCGCCCUUUGGUAUUCCUUAGGGCAUGCCUGUUCGAGCGUCAUCUAAACCCUCAAGCCCUGCUUGGUGUUGGGUGUCUGUCCCGCCCCCGUGCGUGGACUCACCUCAAAUCCAUUGGCGGCCCUCGUGCCGGCCCCGAGCGCAGCAGAAACGCGGUCUCGUGGCCCGGCGGAGCGUGCCCCCAGAAGCAACAUUCACCGUUUUGACCUCGGAUCAGGUAGGGAUACCCGCUGAACUUAAGC